rnacentral:rRNA from 1 species
AGCGAACGCUGGCGGCAGGCCUAAUACAUGCAAGUCGAACGGCAGCACAGUGGAGCUUGCUCCAUGGGUGGCGAGUGGCGGACGGGUGAGGAAUACGUGGGAAUCUGCCCAGUCGUGGGGGAUAACGUAGGGAAACUUACGCUAAUACCGCAUGCGCCCUUCGGGGGAAAGCCGGGGACCUUCGGGCCUGGCGCGAUUGGAUGAGCCCACGUCGGAUUAGCUAGUUGGCGGGGUAAAGGCCCACCAAGGCGACGAUCCGUAGCUGGUCUGAGAGGAUGAUCAGCCACACUGGAACUGAGACACGGUCCAGACUCCUACGGGAGGCAGCAGUAGGGAAUAUUGGACAAUGGGCGCAAGCCUGAUCCAGCCAUGCCGCGUGAGUGAAGAAGGCCCUCGGGUUGUAAAGCUCUUUUGUCCGGAAAGAAAAGCGCCGGGUUAAUACCCUGGUGUCCUGACGGUACCGGAAGAAUAAGCACCGGCUAACUUCGUGCCAGCAGCCGCAGUAAUAC